GACGAGGGGUCCUAGCGUUGUUCGGAAUUACUGGGCGUAAAGGGCGCGUAGGCGGUAGCACAAGUCAGUUGUGAAAUCUCCGGGCUUAACUCGGAAAGGUCAACUGAUACUGUGCGACUAGAGUGCAGAAGGAGCAACUGGAAUUCUCGGUGUAGCGGUGAAAUGCGUAGAUAUCGAGAGGAACAACAGUGGCGAAGGCGAGUCUCUGGGCAGUAACUGACGCUGAGGAGCGAAAGCGUGGGGAGCGAACAGG
rnacentral:rRNA from 1 species